rnacentral:rRNA from 1 species
AGCGAACGUUAGCGGCGGGCCUAACACAUGCAAGUCGAGCGAGAAAGGGGGGCAACCCCUGAGUAAAGCGGCGGACGGGUGAGGAACACGUAGGUAACCUGCCCUUCGAUGGAGGACAACGGUCCGAAAGGACCGCUAAUACUGCAUACGUUCUCCGGGUCCUCGGGCCUGGAGAGGAAAGCCUCGCAAGGGGCGUCGACGGAGGGGCCUGCGUCGCAUCAGCUAGUUGGUGGGGUAAGGGCCUACCAAGGCGAAGACGCGUAGCUGGUCUGAGAGGAUGAUCAGCCACACUGGGACUGAGACACGGCCCAGACUCCUACGGGAGGCAGCAGUGGGGAAUAUUGGACAAUGGGCGAAAGCCUGAUCCAGCCACGCCGCGUGAGUGAUGAAGGCCUUCGGGUCGUAAAGCUCUGUGGGGAGGGACGAAUGACCGGGUGAAGAGCCCGGAAUGACGGUACCUCCUUAGCAAGCACCGGCUAACUUCGUGCCAGCCGCCGCCGUAA